UACGUAGGGUGCAAGCGUUAAUCGGAAUUACUGGGCGUAAAGCGUGCGCAGGCGGUUUUGUAAGACAGAUGUGAAAUGCCCGGGCUUAACCUGGGAACUGCAUUUGUGACUGCAAGCUAGAGUGUGUCAGAGGGGGGUGAAUUCCGACGUGUAGCAGUGAAAUGCGUAGAUAUGUGGAGGAACACCGAUGGCGAAGGCAGCCCCCUGGGAUAACACUGACGCUCAUGCACGAAAGCGUGGGGAGCAAACAGGAUUAGAAACCCGUGUAGU
rnacentral:rRNA from 1 species